rnacentral:rRNA from 1 species
CUUAGGGACUGCGGAAGGAUCAUUA